GCCCUCGUAGCAGAAUUGGAAUAUGCAUCGGAUUUAAGCUCCGUGGUUUGUGAGUUCAAGUCUCACCGAGGGUA
rnacentral:tRNA from 1 species